AGAGGUAUGGAGGGCGUGGGCCAGCCGUGAUCCGCAUCCGAACUGCCCGUUGGCAUCCCUACAGAGUGCCAGAAAUGCUCUGUUUGAUCCCGCUAAAGCGUUAAAUAAGUUUGAUGAACCUCACACGCUCACACCUAACUCCAAGGGGGCACCAGGCCGAGCCACACUUCAUUAAUCCUCCUCAUGUCUCCAACCAAGAUAGCCAAGAAAUCUAAAAAAAAAAAAAGAAAGUGCUUUGUAUGUCAGCUAAUUUUCUUAUCGAUUCUGACGAUGUUUCUUUGAAGGAAAAUCCGUGGCCUUCCAUAGCCUUGUGUCUCAAUUGCGGUGAAAAGCAAGUCCUGAUGAUGCUUUGAUCACAACUUUAACUGUUAGAGAAGCCGUUUACUUCUCAGCUCAGCUUAAAAUUCAAUUACCAGACUCCAUGACUCAAGAUCAAGAAAGCUGCAUCAUAUGGUAUGUUGGGAGCUUUUCCAACACGAAUAAAGAUUGCAUAAACCUGAAUGGCAGCCAAUUCCAACAUGUACACCACCAACACCAUCACUCACAGUACUCCUGGUUAUGUUCUCCUCAACCACAUCAAUGGCAGAACCAUAGAGGUCAGGAGUACUACUGUUGCUACUCAGACCACAAUUUACUCCCAAACAAUGACCACUACUAAUAAGCUCCCCUCUUUAGUUUUAAAUAGAGAGCAGUUUUUCCUUGAAAUGCUCCGCCUGUCCAUGCAACUGGAUUAGCUUGCAGGUUCUCAAAUCAAGGAAGAGACAAGGGAUGAGAAAAUCAACCACUUCAUGGUCAUUUGGAUGGAAAUCCAUUAUGUAAUACAUUGGUAAUUCUGGUAAAUCAUUGACUCGAUAACAUAAACUCCUGCCUUUUCUUCUCCUUCUCCUUCUGCAUUGUUUUCCUUGGGUUUGGAAUCACUUCCCCCCAUUUGCAAAUAUUACAACUUUGUUUGAGUAAACAAAUUGUGUUUAGUGAUUAGUGAUUAGUGUGAGAAUUGUACUAUUCUAUGACUUGAAACUAAGGUAUUUAUACCAAAAAAUUAAGAUUAUUAGAGAAGCAAAAUUUAUGGGGGAAAAA